AGGAUGAACGCUGGCGGUAUGCCUAACACAUGCAAGUCGAACGGGUGUCUUCGGACAUUAGUGGCGGACGGGUGAGUAACGCGUGAGAAUCUGCCUUCAGGAUGGGGACAACAGUUGGAAACGACUGCUAAUACCCGAUAUGACGAAAGUUGAAAGAUUUAUCGCCUGGAGAUGAGCUCGCGUCAGAUUAGCUAGUUGGUGUGGUAAUGGCGCACCAAGGCGACGAUCUGUAGC
rnacentral:rRNA from 1 species